rnacentral:rRNA from 1 species
CCGUUAAUCAUUUAACAUGUUUCUAACUGCGUCUAGUUUGUCAGAAACAGAAACAAAAACUGCUUCCAGAGAUGAAAGAGACGCCACAUACACAAAAAAAACUUGGAAAACAUGGGGAUACCAAAUUACCAAUGGAGAUACAUCAAUACCAACAUGAUUAACGUUAUUAUUACAAGCACCGUUCAGUGCAGUGCGGCCGGCUAAUUAUUAUACAUCACAAGAUCCAUGAGGCAUGUCACGCAUUACAUACAUAUGCUACCACACGCUCCAAACCCUGCAACAUAUAUGUCUGUCACACUUCUCCCAAGUGUUCAUCAUCGAUCUCGCCUACACUGCACGAACAGAUCCAAAAAAAGAUUAGCAACUGCUUACCUUCUUAAUUAAUUACGUAGAUCAGAUCCAACAAGAACAUGAGAGCGAGAAAAGGAACUCAUGGAGACGGCGACCACCAUUGGUACGUACCUGCACGCUGCCGGAGCGCGGGCCGGAGCUGGCUCAGUCGCUGUCGCUGUCGCUGCUGCUGCUGCCGUGGCCGUCGUCGUCCUUGUGGCCCUCGCCGUGCUUCUUGUCCUUCUUCUUCUUCUUGUCCUUCUUCUCCUUGUGGUCGCCGUCCUUCUUGCCGUCGCCGCUGAUCUUGUCCUUGAUCUUCUCCAUCAUGCCCUCCUUGUGCUCGCCGUCCUUCUUGUGCUCCCCGUCCUUCUUCUUGUGCUCCUCCGCCUUCUUGUGCUCCUCGUCCUUCUUGUGCUCGUCGCUGCCGCCGCCCAUGUGGAGCUUCUCCUCGAUCUUGUGCAUGAUGCCGGCCAUGGCGCUGCUGUUUCUGGCUACUUCUCUCCAAGGAAAAUGGCGAUGCUAAUGGGAUGCGAUGAUGGUGUUGUGGUGGGUGAUCUUGUUUGGCUCCCCUUCGCCGGUAUUUAUAGACCGGCGAGGGGACGCGGCCCCGUGGCCUGAGGUGGAGGGUGUCUGAAGAAGCGGGAGGACCGCCG